AUGCGCCGCAUAGAUGCCGGUGUCGACUACACCGAUUAUGACUCCUUCGCCAUAGUUGGUGUCCCUCCACUGUUGGAAUUGAUCUACGGUUAUAACAAACUGAGACAAAGAAGGGGAGGAUUUGCAUCCCCAGUACAUGCCCUGAUCGGGGGCAUUGACCCAACUUUUGGUUUUGGUCCCUGUCCCCUUCGCACCACUUACAAAAUGAGGAGGUCGUACCCCUUGGGGGUAACACACGUACGGGUUAGCACCCGGUUACUCCUAACAGCCGAUCCUGAAAGGGUGCUUAAGGGGAUCAGAAGACCACCACCACCGCCGGCCACCUCCAGGUCCGUGCCGGCGACAUCCUUCGUGUCUGCUACAUCGCCUGCUGAUGCCCUUCCUCCCGACGAUCUUCUCACUGCUGGAGAUGCUAAGGUGGAGCCAGGGGCUAUCCUGUUAAUGGAUCAAGAUAAUCACGCAAUGAACAUUAAAAAUGAUGCCAUUUUGUUUGACAUAGACGAACCUUAUGCAAAGAACUUUCCCACAUGGAGAGUGGAGAUCAUUGUCUCAUGUAAGGAAUCUCCCAAUGUUUUUCUGCCACUAAGGUUGAAGGAUGUUAAUCAUGAUGAUAAGGCAGACAUUGGGAGAGAUCUCAAGACGCAUGUGCCAUCAUGCACAUUACUAAUGCAAAGGAGACUAAAGUCAAAACUAUUGGAUUUAUUCCACUAG
rnacentral:rRNA from 1 species